CGGACGGGUGAGUAACGCGUGAGUAAUGUACCUUUGGGUGGGGAAUAACUUAGGGAAACUUAAGCUAAUACCGCAUAAUGCAGCGGCUCCUUCGGGAGACAGUUGUUAAAGAUUUAUCGCCUAAAGAGCAGCCUGCGGCAGAUUAGCUAGUUGGUAAGGUAACGGCUUACCAAGGCUACGAUCUGUAUCCGACCUGAGAGGGUGGUCGGACACACUGACACUGAAUAACGGGUCAGACUCCUACGGGAGGCAGCAGUCGGGAAUUUUGGGCAAUGGGCGAAAGCCUGACCCAGCAACGCCGCGUGAAGGAUGAAGUCUUUCGGGAUGUAAACUUCGUAAGAAUAGGAAGAAUAAAUGACGGUACUAUUUGUAAGGUCCGGCUAACUACGUGCCAGCAGCCGCGGUAAUACGUAGGGACCAAGCGUUGUUCGGAUUUACUGGGCGUAAAGGGCGCGUAGGCGGCGUGUCAAGUCAAUUGUGAAAUCUCCGGGCCUAACUCGGAACGGUCAAUUGAUACUGAUGUGCUAGAGUACAGAAGGGGCAAUCGGAAUUCGUGGUGUAACGGUGAAAUGCGUAGAUAUCAAGAGGAACACCUGAGGUGAAGACGGGUUGCUGGGCUGAUACUGACGUCUGAGGCGCGAAAAGCUAGGUUAGCAAAUGGGAUUAGAUACCCCAGUAGUC
rnacentral:rRNA from 1 species